rnacentral:rRNA from 1 species
GACGAACGCUGGCGGCGUGCCUAAUACAUGCAAGUAGAACGCAGUGGCGCACGCGUGUGUAUCGCGUAGGUAACCGCCUCAUAGCGGGGGAUAACUAUUGGAAACGAUAGCUAAUACCGCAUACUUUUAGAUGGACCUGAGUUGUUUUAGCUAGUUGGUGAGGCAAAGGCUCACCAAGGCGACGAUACAUAGCCGAGCUGAGAGGGUGAUCGGCCAAACCGGGACCGAGACACGGCCCAGACUCCGACGGGAGGCAGCAGUAGGGAAUUUUCGGAAAUGGAGGGAAGGCUGACCGAGCAACGGCGCGUGAGUGAAGAAGGUCUUCGGGUCGGAAAGCUCUGUUGUGAGAGAAGCGGUAACCGAACAGAAAGCGACGGCUAACUACGUGCCAGCAGCCGCGGUAAUAC